GUGGGGAAUAUUGGGCAAUGGGCGAAAGCCUGACCCAGCAACGCCGCGUGAAGGAAGAAGGUUUUCGGAUCGUAAACUUCUAUCCUUGGUGAAGAUAAUGACGGUAGCCAAGAAGGAAGCCCCGGCUAACUACGUGCCAGCAGCCGCGGUAAUACGUAGGGGGCAAGCGUUGUCCGGAAUGAUUGGGCGUAAAGGGCGCGUAGGAGGCCCGGUAAGUCUGAAGUGAUAGUCCUGCUUUUAAGGUGGGAAUUGCUGUGGAUACUGUCGGGCUUGAGUGCAGGAGAGGUAAGCGGAAUUCCCGGUGUAGCGGUGAAAAGCGUAGAGAUCAGGAGGAACACCAGUGGCGAAGGCGGCUUACUGGACUGUAACUGACGCUGAGGCGCGAAAGUGUGGGGAGCAAACAGGAUUAGAUACCCGGGUAGUCC
rnacentral:rRNA from 1 species